rnacentral:rRNA from 1 species
GACGAACCGUGCAAACGUUAUUCGGAAUCACUGGGCUUAAAGGGCGCGUAGGCGGGCCAUCAAGUCAGGGGUGAAAUCUUUCAGCUCAACUGGAAAAGGGCCUUUGAUACUGGUGGCCUCGAGGGAGGUAGGGGCAUGCGGAACUUCCGGUGGAGCGGUGAAAUGCGUAGAUAUCGGAAGGAACGCCGGUCGCGAAAGCGGCGUGCUGGACCUCUUCUGACGCUGAGGCGCGAAAGCUAGGGGAGCAAACGGG